rnacentral:rRNA from 1 species
GCCGGACCUGACUGCUAUCGGAUUGAUACUAAGCCAUGCGAGUCGUUGUAGCAAUACAAGGCAUACGGCUCAGUAACGCGUAGUCAACCUAACCUAUGGACGGGAAUAACCUCGGGAAACUGAGAAUAAUGCCCGAUAGAACAUUAUGCCUGGAAUGGUUUAUGUUCCAAAUGAUUUAUCGCCAUAGGAUGGGACUGCGGCCUAUCAGUUUGUUGGUGAGGUAAUGGCCCACCAAGACUAUUACAGGUACGGGCUCUGAGAGGAGUAGCCCGGAGAUGGGUACUGAGACACGGACCCAGGCCCUAUGGGGCGCAGCAGGCGAGAAAACUUUGCAAUGUGCGAAAGCACGACAAGGUUAAUCCGAGUGAUUUCUGCUAAAGAGAUCUUUUGUUAGUCCUAGAAACACUAACGAAUAAGGGGUGGGCAAGUUCUGGUGUCAGCCGCCGCGGUAAAACCAGCACCUCAAGUGGUCAGGAUGAUUAUUGGGCCUAAAGCAUCCGUAGCCGGCUCUGUAAGUUUUCGGUUAAAUCUGUACGCUCAACGUACAGGCUGCCGGGAAUACUGCAGAACUAGGGAGUGGGAGAGGUAGACGGUACUCGGUAGGAAGUGGUAAAAUGCUUUGAUCUAUCGAUGACCACCUGUGGCGAAGGCGGUCUACCAGAACACGUCCGACGGUGAGGGAUGAAAGCUGGGGGAGCAAACCGGAUUAGAUACCCGGGUAGUCCCAGCUGUAAACUAUGCAAACUCAGUGAUGCAUUGGCUUGUGGCCAAUGCAGUGCUGCAGGGAAGCCGUUAAGUUUGCCGCCUGGGAAGUACGUACGCAAGUAUGAAACUUAAAGGAAUUGGCGGGGGAGCACCACAAGGGGUGAAGCCUGCGGUUCAAUUGGAUUCAACGCCGGA